UAGGGAAUCUUCCGCAAUGGACGAAAGUCUGACGGAGCAACGCCGCGUGAGUGAAGAAGGAUUUCGGUUCGUAAAACUCUGUUGUUAGGGAAGAAAAAAUGUAUAGUAACUAUAUACAAAAGAGACGGUACCUAACCAGAAAGCCACGGCUAACUACGUGCCAGCAGCCGCGGUAAUACGUAGGUGGCAAGCGUUGUCCGGAAUUAUUGGGCGUAAAGCGCGCGCAGGUGGUUUAGAAAGUCUGAUGUGAAAGCCCACGGCUCAACCGUGGAGGGUCAGUGGAAACUAAUAAACUUGAGUGCAGGAGAGGAAAGUGGAAUUCCUAGGGUAGCGGGGAAAUGCGUAGAGAUUAGGAGGAAAACCGGUGGGGAAAGCGGCUUUUUGGCCUGCAACUGACACUGAGGCGCGAAAGCGUGGGGGGCAAACAGG
rnacentral:rRNA from 1 species